rnacentral:rRNA from 1 species
UACGUAGGGAGCAAGCAUUAUCCGGAUUUAUUGGGUGUAAAGGGUGCGUAGACGGAGAAGCAAGUUAGUUGUGAAAUCCCUCGGCUUAACUGAGGAACUGCAACUAAAACUACUUCCCUUGAGUACUGGAGAGGAAAGUGGAAUUCCUAGUGUAGCGGUGAAAUGCGUAGAUAUUAGGAGGAACACCAGUGGCGAAGGCGACUUUCUGGACAGUAACUGACGUUGAGGCACGAAAGUGUGGGGAGCAAACAGG